rnacentral:rRNA from 1 species
ACGUGGAGGACCGAACUCACUAAUGUUGAAAAUUAGGGGAUGAACUGUGGAUGGGGGUGAAAGGCCAAUCAAACCUGGAGAUAGCUGGUUCUCCCCGAAAUAUAUUGAGGUAUAGCCUCGUGUGAUUCGCGCUGGAGGUAGAGCACUGAAUGGGCUAGGGGUCCCACAGGAUUACCAAACCCAACUAAACUCCGAAUGCCAGCGACGUCAGCACGGGAGUCAGACUGCGGGAGAUAAGUUCCGUGGUCGAGAGGGAAAAGAGCCCAGACUGCCAGCUAAGGCCCCCAAGUGUAUGCUAAGUGGAAAAGGAUGUGGGGACACAUAGACAACCAGGAGGUUGGCUUAGAAGCAGCCAUCCUUAAAAAGAAAGCGUAAUAGCUCACUGGUCAAGUGGCUCUGCGCCGAAAAAUCCAACGGGGC